rnacentral:sRNA from 1 species
AGGACAAUUGCCCUGUGUUUCCCCUAUUUGGAAGUUUGGAUCUCACAAGGGGGGUGGAUUGCACUUGUCAAUGUCAUUUAUGCACUCCUGAUUAUAUUCCCAUUUUUUUAUUUCUGUCAUAAUGUAGGUACACGAAUUAUGUGACAAUUUCUGCCACCGGUAUAUUAGCUGUUUGAAAGGGAAAAUGCCUAUCGAUUUGGUGAUAGACGAUAGAGAAGGAGGAUCAAAAUCAGACAGUGAAGAUAUAACAAGAUCAGCAAAUCUAACCGACCAGCCCUCUUGGAACAGAGAUCAUGAUGACACGGCAUCUACUCGUUCAGGAGGAACCCCAGGCCCUUCCAGCGGUGGCCACACAUCACACAGUGGGGACAACAGCAGUGAGCAAGGUGAUGGCUUGGACAACAGUGUAGCUUCCCCCAGCACAGGUGACGAUGAUGACCCUGAUAAGGACAAAAAGCGUCACAAAAAGCGUGGCAUCUUUCCCAAAGUAGCCACAAAUAUCAUGAGGGCGUGGCUGUUCCAGCAUCUAACA